GAAAGAGAUUUAGCGCGCCUGCGCACAGCUUCUUAUAUCGACUCCGCCCCCAUCCACGCGCAUACGUAUUCCGCAAAACCGAGUAAUGAAGUACAUCCUGCGUUGAGCAAAUGUCAUUUCCUCCUAGUGCGACUAGACAAAAUUACGGUCAUUCAUCGCCUGUAUUUAUGGCUACUUAGGGCCCAAGAAACGGGUGCCUAUUCCAGCCUGCGUCGUUCAAAAAGUCUGCAGCUCUUAUCCAGACCCCAAAGGCCGUUACAGAGGAUUUCUACAGGCAUUUGACUAUAAUACUUUUGAUAUGGCUUUGGACUGAUGCCUUUUGUGGUUGUUUAUUUUUCAUUGAUGUUUGAACUUGUAGUAUUUAUUAAUCUUUAUGAUUUUUUUCAAUAAAAAACAUACAAACAUUA